UAAUUUGUAGCAAAUUGAUAGU
rnacentral:miRNA from 1 species